CCUACGGGUGGCUGCAGUAGGGAAUAUUGGUCAAUGGUCGAGAGACUGAACCAGCCAUGCCGCGUGCAGGAAGACGGCCUUCUGGGUUGUAAACUGCUUUUAACAGAGGGGAAAAAGGUCCUGCGGGACAAAUUGACAGUAUCUGUUGAAUAAGCACCGGCUAACUCCGUGCCAGCAGCCGCGGUAAUACGGAGGGUGCAAGCGUUGUCCGGAUUCAUUGGGUUUAAAGGGUGCGUAGGCGGCUUAGUAAGUCAGUGGUGAAAUCCAACAGCUCA
rnacentral:rRNA from 1 species